UUAUUUGCAGGAAAAGUGCACUUCAAAAGCGUACUUAUGCAUUUUUUGACAAAGAACUUGCAAAGAGCUAUGGUCUUUGAGUUCUCUCUGAUCAUAAUGAAUAUUUGGGCUAAUGAAGGAUGGCUGUGAGUGCAGCUUGGUGAAGCUGGAGCUGAAGCCUUCGACUGGGAUCUAUCCUGAAUGCUAGGGAACUCCAAGGACGCUUUCUUUAACUUGAAAGUAGAAAGUUAUUGAAUAUUCAGGGUUUGUUGAUGCUAAGGAAGAGCGUAAAGCACGUUGGCUUAGUAUUUGUGAAGGAAAGCACUGGGAGUGUCAGAAUGGCCAUGGCUUUGCUUAAACCUGAUGUUCCUGUUGGGAACCUGACCGCUUCCAGCAGUGUCUUGGAAAGGCUUUCCAUCUAAUGAGAUGGGAUUGAGCCCAACUCUUCAGCUGAAGUAUUUAAGAAUAUUUUUCAAGCACUAAAUUUCUGGAAAUGACUUGAGAGUUGUGCAGAAAAAAGGCGUGGAAAUGCGCUUGGUCAGAUAAAUGCGGACACCUUCCAAUAAAGAUUAUUUUAU
rnacentral:lncRNA from 7 species